CGAACCGGACAAACGUUAUUCGGAAUUACUGGGCUUAAAGGGUUUGUAGGCGGCCUUGUAAGUCAGGUGUGAAAUCCCUCGGCUCAACCGAGGAAUGGCGCUUGAUACUGCAAGGCUUGAGGGAGACAGGGGUAAGCGGAACUGAUGGUGGAGCGGUGAAAUGCGUUGAUAUCAUCAGGAACACCGGUGGCGAAAGCGGCUUACUGGGUCUCUUCUGACGCUGAGGAACGAAAGCUAGGGGAGCGAACGGGAUUAGAUACCCCGGUAGUCCUAGCUGUAAACGAUGAGCACUUGUCUGGGGAUCCUCCCAUAGGUUCCCGGACGAAGCGAAAGUGUUAAGUGCUCCGCCUGGGGAGUAUGGUCGCAAGGCUG
rnacentral:rRNA from 1 species